GGAUCUUCGAUUCUCCACAUUGAUCAGUGUGUUUGAUUUUCCUGCCUUUUGAAAGAAGAGAAUCAGUUACAGCUUUCUUGAGAUUUCUUUUGUUGGUUUGCCUGCUUGGUUUUAGAGGGAGAAGAGACAGAUGCUCAACCAAAACAAGCACCUAACAAGUGGCAGUGCCCAGCAUUUCCUGCAGCUGGUGACAAAGCUCAAUCCUGAGACUUCCAAGUUUGUGGGAACAUCUGGAAAGAUGGUGAUGACCACUGGGAUGACCCAAAAGGCAAC